GUUAUCAAUGUUAUGACUGACAGUAAUGUUCAAUAAUUACCGUGCUUGUUAUCUCUACUCCAGUAGGAUUUAUAAUUCGUGGAUAGAGUGAACUAUGAUGUCCAGUAAAUGGCUUUGAUUCCGAAUAAUAGUGAUAAUCAAACGUUAACAAGUUCAAAUAAUCAACGCUCUGGAAUGAAAAUAAGCGAUGUCAGGAUGUGCGGAGACUGUGGCGGUUAAUAAGGUGUCCAAUUUACCUUUUCGUAAACAUUCUUUUCGAGUCAGCUAUAAAACAACGAAGAAAUACUGAUUUUCAAUUUUUGAAAUGAAGUCAUUUGACUCUCUUGAAAUCGUUACAUUACCUUUAGUAACGAAACCAAAUCACUUUUAGAUUCUUGAUAUUUAGUCUCAUUCUGAUGUAAACGGAAAAAAUCGACACCGUCAAGAUUGUAUAGACUGACUAAAUCAAUCAAUGAACCAACAAAUUGAUUCCUUUUUUCUUCAGCUGCCAAAAUAUUGAACUCGUUCAUGGAAUUGACUUUAGACUGGCCCAUACGAAUGGAUAGCAAAAUUUUUAAAUUAGGGUUCUUUUUCUUUAAGAUUUCAUGCUAACUUUUCAGUAUUACUCUCAGGAUGUUGGAACCAAAGCAAACUUUCUGGACCAAUUAAAGCAUGGCCAACUAUUAUGUGAUCACAAAGAGCGGGAUCGAUCUUGCU